UGGGGAAUAUUGCACAAUGGGCGCAAGCCUGAUGCAGCCAUGCUGCGUGUAUGAAGAAGGCCUUCGGGUUGUAAAGUACUUUCAGUCGGGAGGAAGGUGGUAAGGUUAAUAACCUUAUCAAUUGACGUUACCGACAGAAGAAGCACCGGCUAACUCCGUGCCAGCAGCCGCGGUAAUACGGAGGGUGCAAGCGUUAAUCGGAAUUACUGGGCGUAAAGCGAACGCAGGCGGUUGAUUGAGUCAGAUGUGAAAUCCCCGGGCUUAACCCGGGAAUUGCAUCUGAUACUGGUCAGCUAGAGUCUUGUAGAGGGGGGUAGAAUUCCAUGUGUAGCGGUGAAAUGCGUAGAGAUGUGGAGGAAUACCGGUGGCGAAGGCGGCCCCCUGGACAAAGACUGACGCUCAGGUGCGAAAGCGUGGGGAGCAAACAGG
rnacentral:rRNA from 1 species